CCUACGGGCGGCUGCAGUCGAGAAUCAUUCACAAUGGGGGAAACCCUGAUGGUGCGACGCCGCGUGGGGGAAUGAAGGUUUUCGGAUUUUAAACCCCUGUCAUGUGGGAGCAAAUUAAAAAGAUAGUACCACAAGAGGAAGAGACGGCUAACUCUGUGCCAGCAGCCGCGGUAAUACAGAGGUCUCAAGCGUUGUUCGGAAUCACUGGGCGUAAAGCGUGCGUAGGCUGUUUCGUAAGUCGUGUGUGAAAGGCGCGGGCUCAACCCGCGGACGGCACAUGAUACUGCGAGACUAGAGUAAUGGAGGGGGAAGCGGAAUUCUCGGUGUAGCAGUGAAAUGCGUAGAUAUCGAGAGGAACACUAGUGGCGAAGGCGGGUUCCUGGACAUUAACUGACGCUGAGGCACGAAGGCCAGGGGAGCGAAAGGGAUUAGAUACCCCAGUAGUC
rnacentral:rRNA from 1 species